rnacentral:rRNA from 1 species
AGCUACCGCUAUUGGAGUUCGAUUAAGCCAUGCGAGUCGCGAGUCUUAGGGACUCGGCGUACCGCUCAGUAACACGUGGGUAACCUGCCCUAUGCUGGGGGAUAACCUCGGGAAACUGAGAAUAAUACCCCAUAGUUCACCACGCCUGGAACGGUGGGUGGACCAAAGCUCCGGCGGCAUAGGAUGGGCCUGCGGCGUAUCAGGUUGUAGGGGGUGUAAUGUACCCUCUAGCCCUCUACGCGUACGGGUGUUGAGAGACAUCGCCCGGAGAUGGAUUCUGAGACACGAAUCCAGACCCUACGGGGUGCAGCAGGCGCGAAAACUUGGCAAUGCGAGAAAUCGUGACCAGGGAACUCCAAGUGCAUCGGGUAAGACCGAUGCUUUUCUUGACUCUUCAAAGGUCUUGGAAUAAGGGGUGGGUAAGGACGGUGCCAGCCGCCGCGGUAAUACCGGCGCCCCAAGUGGUAGUCGCUUUUAUUGGGCCUAAAACGUCCGUAGCCGGUCUGGUACAUUCGUGGGUAAAUCAACCAGCUCAACUGGUUGAAUUCUGCGAGCACGGCCAGACUUGGGACCGGGAGAGGUGUGGGGUACUCUCAGGGUAGGGGUAAAAUCCUGUCAUCCUGAGAGGACCACCUGUUGCGAAGGCGCCACACUAGAACGGAUCCGACGGUCAGGGACGAAGCCUAGGGGCACGAACCGGAUUAGAUACCCGGGUAGUCCUAGGUGUAAACGCUGUGGACUUGAUGUUGGGGGCGCUCCGAGCGCACUCAGUGUCGAAGCGAAGGUGAUAAGUCCACUGCCUGGGGAGUACGGUCGCAAGGCUGAAACUUAAAGGAAUUGGCGGGGGAGCACCGCAACCUGAGGAUUGUGCGGUUU